UACGGAGGGUGCGAGCGUUAUCCGGAAUUAUUGGGCGUAAAGAGCUCGUAGGCGGUCUGUUGCGUCGGCUGUGAAAAUCCAGGGCUUAACCCUGGACCUGCAUCGGGUACGGGCAGACUAGAGUGCGGUAGGGGAGAUCGGAAUUCCUGGUGUAGCGGUGAAAUGCGCAGAUAUCAGGAGGAACACCGGUGGCGAAGGCGGAUCUCUGGGCCGUAACUGACGCUGAGGAGCGAAAGCAUGGGGAGCGAACAGG
rnacentral:rRNA from 1 species